CCGCUGCCGCUUGAGGCGGCUGACGCAGCCGCUACCAGGUUGAUAUGGAGCUGCGGCUGUUUUGUUAAUUCAGAGUUAGAAUCCAGUUUGCUUAUGCCGCUUGUAGCUGUUUCUGAUUUUGUAACAAGUAGAGCCGAGGUUUUGGUUGCCGGUGAUUUCGAGUUGAGGCGGAAAUGGGCUUGAUGAGGCGUUUGGAUUAUGGAAUUGCGUUUUGAGGAUAUGGGCGCAGAAGUCACGAAGAGUUUAUUUAGUUGUUGUUGAAAUG